rnacentral:lncRNA from 1 species
CAUACCUUACAGAGCCAAGCACCUUUCUUAUAGGAACACAGUGAGUCACCACCUCCUGGCACAAAACACCUCCUGCCCCAGGCCCUGCUCCUGAGGCCGCCUGGGACACUGGCAGUUUGUGGGCAAAUUGUGCACCUUAUUGUUUUUGACUCCUUUGUUACUCCCUUAUCGGCUUGCUACAGCUCCUCACACUGCUGUCUCUGUUCCCUACAACUGCAUCCUCCUAAUGGUACAAGGCUUCCUUCCUGCUCAAUUUGAGAUGAGAGAAAGCUGACAGCCAUUGAGACGGUGUGAGAAGCGAGCCUGCUCUCUCCUGCUCUGGCCGGAGCUCUCCCUGGAGGACCACAGAUUGGCAACAAGAAGUUUCCAAGCCCU